rnacentral:rRNA from 1 species
AGGAAUUGGCGGGGGAGCACCACAAGGGGUGAAGCCUGCGGUUCAAUUGGAGUCAACGCCAGAAAUCUUACCUGGGGCGACAGCAGAAUGAAGGUCAAGCUGAAGACUUUACCAGACAAGCUGAGAGGUGGUGCAUGGCCGUUGCCAGCUCGUGCCGUGAGAUGACCUGUUAAGUCAGGUAACGAGCGAGACCCCUGCGUCUAGUUGCUACCAUUACUCUCUGGAGUAGUGGAGCGAAUUAGACGGACCGCCACAGUUAAUGUGGAGGAAGGAAGGGGCCACGGCAGGUCAGUAUGCCCCGAAACCCUAGGGCUACACGCGGGCUGCAAUGGUAUUGACAAUGUGUUCCGAAUCCGAAAGGAGGAGGCAAUCAUCAAACGAUACCUCAGUUAUGACUGAGGGCUGUAACUCGCCCUCACGAAUAUGGAAUCCCUAGUAACUGCGCGUCACUACCGCGCGGUGAAUACGUCCCUGCUCCUUGCACACACCGCCCGUC